rnacentral:piRNA from 1 species
UAGGUACCAAAGUUGGCCAUGGUGCCCAUGGU